GCACUGGCACACGCUGGUCGAGGUGAGACCCCCCCGGCACCCAUGGGACCCCCCCGGCCCCCCAGGGGACCCCCCGUCACCCAUGGGACCCCCCCAGCACCCAUGGGACCCCCCUGGCACCCAUAGGAACCCCCAGUACCCAUAGGACCCCCCUGGUACCUAUAGGAUAACCUCAAUGUCUAUAGGAUCACCUGGCUCCCAUGGGACCCCCCAGCACCCAUGGGACCCCCCCGGCACCCAUGGGACCCCCCAGCACCCAUGGGACCCCCCCAGCACCCAUAGGACCCCCCAGCACCCAUGGGACCCCCCAACACCCAUAGGACCCCCCAGCACCCAUGGGACCCCCCAGCACCCAUGGGACCCCCCCGGCACCCAUGGGACCCCCCCAGCAUAUGGGUGUCCCCGUCCCCAUAUGGGUGUCCCCGUCCCGGUGCAGGAGAAGGCGCUGGGGCUGGCGGCCAAGGGGGCGGCGCGGGACAAACCCAGCAUCGUGGUGGAGCCCGACUGAGCCGGUACUGGGAGCACUGGGAGCACUGGGAGCGGCACCGAGGGCUCCGGGAGGGACCGGGGAGGCAUUGGGCCAUACUGGAGGGCACUGGGCCAUACUGGAGGGCAUGGGGCAAACUGGGGGAGGGCACUGGGAGCACUCUGUACCAUACUGGGAGGUUACUGGGGCAUGCUUGGGGCCACUGGGCCAUACUGGGAGAGCAUUGAGCCAUACUGGGAGGGUUCUGGGUCAUGCUGGGAGGGCACUGGGCCAUACUGGGGUGGCACUGGGCCAUGCUGGAGGGCACUGGGCCAUACUGGAGGGGACACUACUAUAUGGGGCCAUACUGGGAGGGCACUGGAGAGCAUGUGGACAUACUGGAAGGGAACUGGACCAUACUGGGAGGCUGCUGGGUCAUACAGAGAGGGCAUUUUACCAUGCUGGGGAGCACUUGGCCAUACUGGGAGGGCCACUGGAUCGUACUGGGGGGCCACUGGGCCAUAUUGAGGGUCAUUGGGCCAUACUGGAGGGCACUGGGCUAUACUGGGGGGCUCUGGGCUGUACUGGGAGCACACUUUACCAUACUGGGGGACAUGGGGCCAUACUGGGAGGGCACUGGGCCAUACUGGGAGCACACCUUACCAUACUGGGAGGCAAUGGGCCAUACUGGGAGGGCACUUUACCAUACUGGGAGAU
rnacentral:lncRNA from 1 species